rnacentral:lncRNA from 1 species
GUAUUACUAAGAGACUUUUUGCCUUGACAGAAUGGUGACACAAAAAUUGUUUACCACGUGUGUGAAAUUAAGAUCAAAACCUUAUGGCUAUGGCAUAAAUAGCAGUUAUGUGAAUUAGAGGAAAGCUUUUCUGACCUGUGUGGAUAAUUUGACAUGAAAAAACAAAAGAGAAAGUAAAUACAUAGAUUUGUGCAGUUUAAAAUGACCUAGGCUAUUGGAACAAGGCAGUUGGCCAUGUGUACAUAAAACUUUGAGAUAAUAAUCACUUUUUAAAAAUGUAGCAAGUUUUCUUCCCUUAAGGUGACUAGUCACCUUGAGAAGUUAGAUCAUAAGUUCAGUGAUACUAUUGUUGAAUUAAAUUUCCUGUUUUUCCUUCAGGAAUUAUUUUAAUAUUCUGAUUCGACCCCUAGCCUGAGAACCUCCAUAUGCCGUGAGUGCAGCUCUAGAAAAGACAAAAAAAGAAAAAAAAAGGAAAGUUUCUGGGCAGAGGAUCAAACCCACGCCACAGCAGUGACCUGGGCCACUGCAGUACCAGUGCCAGAUCCUUAACCCAUCACACCACAAGGAAAUUCCAUAACCUCUUGAUCUUUAAAUUGGGGAUAAUAACACCUAUUUCUAGGUGUUGUUAAUUAAUUAAUAUUAAUUAUCUACUAUUUUCUGUAGUUGCUGUAGUUAAUCCUAAUAUGAUGAUACGUAUAAGAGUUUGUCACAAUAUUUGGUACAUGGUAAAGUUAGUAAUGAAACUGGGAAAAUGAAAACAAUAUAGUUGAAGUGAUUGGUCUGGUUUUCUUGUGAGACUUAUAAAUUAAUUCUGAAAACAGCACCCACGGAAGAAUUCCAUAAAUGUUUUGGGCAAGAUCAACCUUCCUAGAAUGACUGUAUAGUCAUUGAAAGGUAUUACAUCUACUAAAUCUUGGAUAAUUGAUUUGCUGUAUUAACGGCAACUGUCCAUUACAUGUAUUGUGUGUGUUCCAACCAUUUAAAAAGUUUCUUCAUAAUCCCUGCCUAUGUAAUAAUACCCAUAUAUAUACUUGUGAAAGUGUAUUUAUUAUAUGUGAAGAUGUUCAUACAUCCAACCAUGAUAAUAUCUCUUUAAUACCAAUUUUUAUGGCUUUAAGAUUUGAGCUACCCAAAAUCUUUGGAUUGCAAGUUACUUUUCUGAAAAUGAAUUUGUUUUGUCUUCACAUUUUAAGUAGUUAGAGUAGGGGAGAUUAUGGAUAUUGAGCAAAAAUAGGAUCAUUCUUAAUGCAACUUUGCUCAAGACCUAUACAUGUUAUAAGAUUUUUUUGUUUAAAAUUUUAUAAAAUUAAUAAUUUUCGCAAUGUUUUUAGACGAAGUGUGCUUAUAAGAACAAUUGCAUGUCAUGAAAUUUUUUUUUUUUUUGUAUAACCUGACUCGUAAAUUAGGACUCCUGGUAUUGAGGACUAAUACUGCUCAAGAAGAUACCUUUUUUGUUGAAGUACUAAAUAGCAUUUCAUUGGUUCCACGUUCUUUAUGAAUAAUCCAUUCAAUAAUUCAUUCAAUAUUAAUUAUCUACUAUAUUCUAGGCUCUGUUCUAGGCCUGGAAUACAUCAGUGAGCAAUAUCACUACUUUCAUGGAACUUAUAUUCUACUAGAUUAAUUAUGUGAUUUGACUUAAAAUUUUCUUAAAAUUUGAGAGGAGAAUGGAUUCUCGUCAUUACACCGGCUAACAUUGUGUCUGAUCAAGUCAUUUACCAUUCUGGGGCUAGUUUUCUCAUGUAAUAUGUAUAGGAAUUUGAUCAAAUGAUUAUUGACUAGGCUGCCAAGACCAUUCAAUGGGGAAAGGGCAGUUUUUUCAAAAAUGGUGCUGGGAAAACUGAAUAUCCACAUGCAGAAGAAUGAAUUUUGACCUUUACGUAAUACCAUAUACAAAAAUUAACUCAAAAUGGAUCAAAGACCUAAAUGUAAGACC